GAAUUGACGGGGACCCGCACAAGUAGCGGAGCAUGUGGUUUAAUUCGAAGCAACGCGAAGAACCUUACCUAAGCUUGACAUCCCAAUGACAUCUCCUUAAUCGGAGAGUUCCCUUCGGGGACAUUGGAGACAGGUGGUGCAUGGUUGUCGUCAGCUCGUGUCGUGAGAUGUUGGGUUAAGUCCCGCAACGAGCGCAACCCUUGUCUUUAGUUGCCAUCAUUAAGUUGGGCACUCUAGAGAGACUGCCAGGGAUAACCUGGAGGAAGGUGGGGAUGACGUAAAAUCAUCAUGCCCCUUAUGCUUAGGGCUACACACGUGCUACAAUGGGUAGUACAGAGGGUUGCCAAGCCGUAAGGUGGAGCUAAUCCCUUAAAGCUACUCUCAGUUCGGAUUGUAGGCUGAAACUC
rnacentral:rRNA from 1 species